rnacentral:rRNA from 1 species
UACGUAGGGUGCGAGCGUUAAUCGGAAUUACUGGGCGUAAAGUGUGCGCAGGCGGCCGCGCAAGUCGAGUGUGAAAGCCCCGAGCUUAACUUGGGAACUGCGCUCGAAACUACGUGGCUGGAGUGUGGCAGAGGAAGGUGGAAUUCCACGUGUAGCGGUGAAAUGCGUAGAGAUGUGGAGGAACACCAAUGGCGAAGGCAGCCUCCUGGGCCAACACUGACACUCAUGCACGAAAGCGUGGGGAGCAAACAGG